UCCUGUGGCUUCCAUGCAGAAGUGCACGGAAACAGCUAUUUGCUAUUGAAAAGUUGGCUGUUACUGUUCUUCUCAUGGAUGCUGCUGGA
rfam:Phaethon lepturus contig28117, whole genome shotgun sequence.